AAUCCACCUUCUUGCCACCUGCAACCCCAAUCUCAAUCCGGAGGCCACUACCACCAGGAUAUUUCUUAAAGAGCUGGGAACCUUUGCUCAAAGCUCCAUCGCCCUUCACCAUCAGUACAACCCCAAGUUUCAGACCCUGUUCCAACCCUGUAACUUGAUGGGAGCUAUGCAGCUGAUUGAAGACUUCAGCACACAUGUCAGCAUUGACUGCAGCCCUCAUAAAACUGUCAAGAAGACUGGUAGGAGACAGAUGUGUCAGCUUUAAGUUUUUACUUGCGCGAAUGAAUUUCCCUGUUUGCCAAAGCAAGUGGCUUGGAUUCUGGCCACAAGCAAGGUUUUCAUGUAUCCAGAGUUACUUCCAGUGUGUUCCCUGAAGGCAAAGAAUCCCCAGGAUAAGAUCGUCUUCACCAAGGCUGAGGACAAUUUGUUAGCUUUAGGACUGAAGCAUUUUGAAGGAACUGAGUUUCCUAAUCCUCUAAUCAGCAAGUACCUUCUAACCUGCAAAACUGCGCACCAACUGACAGUGAGAAUCAAGAACCUCAACAUGAACAGAGCUCCUGACAACAUCAUUAAAUUUUAUAAGAAGACCAAACAGCUGCCAGUCCUAGUAAAAUGCUGUGAAGAGAUCCAGCCACAUCAGUGGAAGCCACCUAUAGAGAGAGAAGAACACCGGCUCCCAUUCUGGUUAAAGGCCAGUCUGCCAUCCAUCCAGGAAGAACUGCGGCACAUGGCUGAUGGUGCUAGAGAGGUAGGAAAUGUGACUGGAACCACUGAGAUCAACUCAGAUCGAAGCCUAGAAAAAGACAAUUUGGAGUUGGGGAGUGAAACUCGGUACCCGCUGCUAUUGCCUAAGGGUGUAGUCCUG
rnacentral:sRNA from 1 species